rnacentral:lncRNA from 1 species
CCUGGCAGGCCGCAGUAACGGCCACGACUCUGCUCCACUUCCUGCGACAGAUUCCAUGUGGCUCCAUCACUCCCUGGCAGACCACAAUAAUGGCCAUGAUCCUGCUCCAUUUCCUGCGAUGGAUACCACGUGGUUCCUCCAUCCUCUGGCAAGUCGCGACAACGGACGCCGCUCCACUCCCCGCAACAGACUCCACGUGGCAU